UACAGAGGGUGCGAGCGUUAAUCGGAAUUACUGGGCGCAAAGCGCACGUAGUCGGCUUUGCAAGUCGGGUGUGAAAUCCCCGGGCUCAACCUGGGAACUGCAUCCGAGACUGCAUUGCUAGAGUAUGGGAGAGGGAAGCGGAAUUUCUGGUGUAGCAGUGAAAUGCGUAGAUAUCAGAAGGAACAUCAGUGGCGAAGGCGGCUUCCUGGACCAAUACUGACGAUCAGGUGCGAAAGCGUGGGGAGCAAACAGG
rnacentral:rRNA from 1 species